rnacentral:lncRNA from 1 species
UGUGCUGUGAGAAUACACAUCAUUUACCUAGUUUUUUAGGGUAAGGCCGUGUGCCUUCACAUGGAGGAAUUCAUUCUCCCCUCUCCCUCCCCUCAGCGUGAGUAUGUGUGUGCAUGCACACACGUGCACAUGGGUGUAGAGAAUAGGUCUUCUCAUGCUUACUGCAGCCUAAUUCUUAUUAGACAGUGACAUCAGAAUUGGUAAGUGGAAAAUGUUUUGUGAUUAGCACAGAAGGCAGUAAUCAAGUAGAAUCAAAACUGCUCUGAAAACCUCUUAGAUCUGCCACGAAGCAUGCAUACUUUGUCUCAUUAAUGCAAACUCACAGAUAUUCUUAGGGACAUCUACGUGUAACUACUCUGGGUUAGAAGAGUAAUUCUAGGAGGAUGCUCUUUAGCAGGCAUGCAGGUCUUGAAACCACUUGUCAUGUGUGAUAACCACAAUCCCUGAUAUGGAAGGGACAUUCUAGAUUGUUCCUGAUGGCCAGUAACUGUUUCACUUGUUGUUCUCAAACUGUGGGUCCCUGGGGGCCAGCAGUGUCAGUGUUGCUGGGGAGCUUGUUAAAAAUGCAUAUUCCCGGGCCCCACCCAGACUUACGCAAUUAGAAACUGGCCAUUCAGCUGUGUUUUCCCCUAGGUGAUUCUGAUGCAUUAUAAAUUUGAGAACUGGUUUUAAUAUUUAGCCUCUAUAGUUUAAUAUAGAUGGACAGAUUUGUUUGCCGAUAUGAAGAUGACAGUCUCUGUGACAGAACCCACAUUUUUGCUGGAUUGAGUCGAAGUCCUAAAAGACUAUUUCUUUACAUAGGAAUCUUUUUUUUGGGGGGGGGUGGUACUGAGAAUUGAACUUUGCCUCUGAGUCACACCCCCAGGCCCUUUUUACUAAGUUGCUGAGGCUGACCUUGAACUUGUGCCUCAGCCUCCCAAAUUACUGGGAUUACAGGUGUGCACCACCCUUGCAGAGGACUCUUUGAGGAGCUUGAGAGAAGACUGGCUGCUUACCCGCUGCCUUUCCCAGGUGAUGUUUGCAAUGAACAGAGUCAGGCCAUUCCUUGGACAUUGGUCUCAUCUCAGAAGUAGGAGAUGGGGAAUGAGGCUUUGUUGUCUCCUCAGAACCCGAGGACAUUAAAAUUGAGCAAGGCGGUCUCAUCCUCAUAGCAGAGGGUUCUGCAGGCAGGAAGGGGCCCACAGAAGGCACAGGCUCCCUUGUCAGCACUAGUUGCUCUACGGGCUUCCCCGGCAGCAGAGCAAUUACGGUUUCCUUUAUUGUAGAGUCUUCGUUUAGAUCUUGUCACUUUUAAGAGACAAGCCUUUUGAAAAGAGGUGAAUUCUUCCUAAAAUUUUACUCUGAAGAGGGAUUAGUGCCACUUUCCAGACUAAAGAUAGUAUUGUAUGUGUGAGUUCUUUUAUCCUUUAUUUUUCCCCAAGCAGCUGUGAUAAGCAUGGCCGGAGUACUCCAUGCUCUCUUGCUUCACCAGCAGAACACAAACGUAGCUCCUCUGGGUCUUUUCUCAUUCAGUCCUGCUUUUUUUUUUUUUUUUGUACUGGGCAUUGAACCCAGAGGUGCUUUAC